UGCAGAUUUUGUAUUUACUGGACAGUACUGUGAUAUAAAGAUAGAAAAACUAGCAUUGGAGUCUAAGUAUAUUAUUGCGAUUGCUACUUCGAUUGGAAGCAUACUAAGUGCAGUCAUAAUAACCACUUGCUUACUGUAUCAUAUAAAGAGAAGGAAGGUGAAGCGUACAAAAACAUUGGAACCAGCUGAUGAUGAGGAUAAUAUCAGUCAGUACCGUCCAAGUAGUGUUCACAGAAGCAUGCAUGCAUCAGCUGAUUUAUAAUCUUCUGAUUAUAAAAUAUACGAUGAUGAUUUUACAGAACAAAAACCCGUAGAUCUCAGUAGCACAAUGCAUACCUAUAAACCAUGGACGACAACAGAGUGCGAUAACAGGUUUUCCCCAUGGUAUAAAAGUAACGACAUUAUCAGUGGAAAGGAGUUUACAAUUAAAAGACCAAAGAUCAUUCUAUACAGAGCAUCAAUGUAUGAUUGCUGAUGUGUUAUUGUGGACGUAACGAAUUCGCCAGAAAAAAUGCGUCUCAACAUCAAAGGACAUAUGUUUUAACAUUUCUCAUAAUUCAUCAAUUCAUCACCUAGAUAAUUAUUUACGCGUUAUACAUACUGAUUAUGUUUGCAUACAUCGGACUAAUGAUAAACAGAGCAUUACAUUGUGUGCAUUACGCAGCUGUCUGUUGCUAUUGAUAUUUCAUUGACUCAACCAUAUUAAAAACAAGUACAUUUUUGGCAUGAUAUCUCAAGUUGGUUUGUUCUCACUUAUACAGGAUUUGUUAUAGGUAUGA